rnacentral:rRNA from 1 species
UGGGGAAUUUUGGACAAUGGGCGAAAGCCUGAUCCAGCAAUGCCGCGUGUGUGAAGAAGGCCUUCGGGUUGUAAAGCACUUUUGUCCGGAAAGAAAUCCUUGGCUCUAAUACAGUCGGGAGAUGACGGUACCGGAAGAAUAAGCACCGGCUAACUACGUGCCAGCAGCCGCGGUAAUACGUAGGGUGCAAGCGUUAAUCGGAAUUACUGGGCGUAAAGCGUGCGCAGGCGGUUUGCUAAGACCGAUGUGAAAUCCCCGGGCUCAACCUGGGAACUGCAUUGGUGACUGGCAGGCUAGAGUAUGGCAGAGGGGGGUAGAAUUCCACGUGUAGCAGUGAAAUGCGUAGAGAUGUGGAGGAAUACCGAUGGCGAAGGCAGCCCCCUGGGCCAAUACUGACGCUCAUGCACGAAAGCGUGGGGAGCAAAACAGGAUUAGAUACCCUGGUAGUCCACGCCCUAAAACGAUGUCAACUAGUUGUUGGGGAUUCAUUUCCUUAGUAACGUAGCUAACGCGUGAAGUUGACCGCCUGGGGAGUACGGUCGCAAGAUUAAAACUCAAAUGAAUUGACGGGGUCAUAGCUGUUUCCU